GACGAACGCUGGCGGCGUGCUUAACACAUGCAAGUCGAACGGAAAGGCCCUGCUUUUGUGGGGUGCUCGAGUGGCGAACGGGUGAGUAACACGUGAGUAACCUGCCCUUGACUUUGGGAUAACUUCAGGAAACUGGGGCUAAUACCGGAUAGGAGCUCCUGCUGCAUGGUGGGGGUUGGAAAGUUUCGGCGGUUGGGGAUGGACUCGCGGCUUAUCAGCUUGUUGGUGGGGUAGUGGCUUACCAAGGCUUUGACGGGUAGCCGGCCUGAGAGGGUGACCGGCCACAUUGGGACUGAGAUACGGCCCAGACUCCUACGGGAGGCAGAAGUGGGGAAUAUUGCACGAUGGGCGGAAGCCUGAUGCAGCAACGCCGCGUGCGGGAUGACGGCCUUCGGGUUGUAACCCGCUUUCGCCUGUGACGAAGCGUGAGUGACGGUAAUGGGUAAAGAAGCACCGGCUAACUACGUG
rnacentral:rRNA from 1 species